GCCACAAGUGUAAGUACAGUAAUGUAUUGAGCUGAGUGGUACUAAUUAGCCGAAUGGCUUUAUCAA
rnacentral:rRNA from 1 species